GGCGGACGGGUGAGUAACAUUUAGGAAUCUACCUAGUAGUGGGGGAUAGCUCGGGGAAACUCGAAUUAAUACCGCAUACGACCUACGGGUGAAAGGGGGCGCAAGCUCUUGCUAUUAGAUGAGCCUAAAUCAGAUUAGCUAGUUGGUGGGGUAAAGGCCCACCAAGGCGACGAUCUGUAACUGGUCUGAGAGGAUGAUCAGUCACACCGGAACUGAGACACGGUCCGGACUCCUACGGGAGGCAGCAGUGGGGAAUAUUGGACAAUGGGGGCAACCCUGAUCCAGCCAUGCCGCGUGUGUGAAGAAGGCCUUUUGAUUGUAAAGCACUUUAAGCAGGGAGGAGAGGCUAAUGGUUAAUACCCAUUAGAUUAGACGUUACCUGCAGAAUAAGCACCGGCUAACUCUGUGCCAGCAGCCGCGGUAAUACAGAGGGUGCGAGCGUUAAUCGGAAUUACUGGGCGUAAAGCGAGUGUAGGUGGCUCAUUAAGUCACAUGUGAAAUCCCCGGGCUUAACCUGYGAACUGCAUGUGAUACUGGUGGUGCUAGAAUAUGUGAGAGGGAAGUAGAAUUCCAGGUGUAGCGGUGAAAUGCGUAUAGAUCUGGGAGGAAUACCGAUGGCGAAGGCAGCUUCCUGGUCAUAAUAUUGACACUGAGAUUCGAAAGCGUGGGUAGCAAACAGGAUUAGAUACCCUGGCUAGUCCACGCCGUAAACGAKGUCUACUAGCCGUUGGGG
rnacentral:rRNA from 1 species